rnacentral:rRNA from 1 species
AACGAACGCUGGCGGCAUGCCUAACACAUGCAAGUCGAACGAGACCUUCGGGUCUAUUGGCGCACGGGUGCGUAACGCGUGGGAACCUGCCCUUAGGUUCGGAAUAACUCCCCGAAAGGGGUGCUAAUACCGGAUAAGGUCUUCUGACCAAAGAUUUAUCGCCUUUGGUUGGGCCCGCGUUGGAUUAGCUAGUUGGUAGGGUAAAAGCCUACCAAGGCGACGAUCCAUAGCUGGUCUGAGAGGAUGAUCAGCCACACUGGGACUGAGACACGGCCCAGACUCCUACGGGAGGGAGCAGUGGGGAAUAUUGGACAAUGGGCGAAAGCCUGAUCCAGCAAGGCCGCGUGAGUGAUGAAGGCAUUAGGGUUGUAAAGCUCUUUUAACCGGGAUGAUAAUGACAGUACCGGGAGAAUAAGCUCCGGCUAACUCCGUG